ACUUAUAAUUUACACAUUUGAAACCUGUGUUAAACAGUACUCUUCUCUGUAGGAAAUUUGGAGUACCUUCAAAAGCUUUUGCAGCUAGACCUCCUAAAAUCAUUGACAAUGUCAUAUCUAGCUCAUCCCCUAGUGUAAUCUAUGUUUAAUUCUCAAAACAAUCUUCUUCUGUUUGUAAUUCAUUUUUUCAGAUCUUAGACAAAGUCCUCUAGUUGUUACAAAUAGCAUUCGACCAACAGAUUAACAUAUACCUUGUGGGCAGAUUAUUUCUGACGGAGAGGAAACCCCUUCAGGAACGUCAAGGAUUCAGUUGAGGAAGGAAAUGAACAUGAUCUUGACACCACCACUCACAAAGGAAAUUGAGGAAGAUGAUGCCUCCCAAAUAUAUUAUAUGUCCUAAAUCCCAGCCACUAGAAGACAUUCCUUGCUUUGCAAUAGACCUCAAGGACAUAGAAAGAAUGUUCAGUGAGCACUUGGGGAUGCGAGCAUGGAUUUUGAACUGCCAACGGAAAUCACAGAUGAAGCUCAUUAAGCUAGUAGCCAGUGAGUGUUUGAAGUUAUAAGCAUGAAGAAUGGUGUAGUGCAGUAUAGUGUUGAGUUUAAUAGUGAUGAAGAACUGAAAGAUUGACCUCAGAUUUCGUCUAUUUAGGGCUUAAUUUCAUCUAUUUUCUCAUCAACAUCAGGGUUACAUUGAAGCCUAAACUUAUUGGAGAAGCGUGGUUAUGCUAUUGAAAAUCAUUAAGCAAGGAUGCGCCUCAUAUAGCCAAGUCUUACAUUCUGGUGCAAGAUAGCUAAUUGAAAAGGCUCCAUAUGCAGAAUAGCAAAGUUUUAUAUAUCAGAACAACAAAGCUCUCU